UAGAGGAAGUAAAAGUCGUAACAAGGUUUCCGUAGGUGAACCUGCGGAAGGAUCAUUACCUAGAGUUGUAGGCUUUGCCUGCUAUCUCUUACCCAUGUCUUUUGAGUACUUACGUUUCCUCGGCGGGUCCGCCCGCCGAUUGGACAAUUUAAACCAUUUGCAGUUGCAAUCAGCGUCUGAAAAACUUUAAUAGUUACAACUUUCAACAACGGAUCUCUUGGUUCUGGCAUCGAUGAAGAACGCAGCGAAAUGCGAUAAGUAGUGUGAAUUGCAGAAUUCAGUGAAUCAUCGAAUCUUUGAACGCACAUUGCGCCCCUUGGUAUUCCAUGGGGCAUGCCUGUUCGAGCGUCAUUUGUACCUUCAAGCUUUGCUUGGUGUUGGGUGUUUGUCUCGCCUCUGCGUGUAGACUCGCCUUAAAACAAUUGGCAGCCGGCGUAUUGAUUUCGGAGCGCAGUACAUCUCGCGCUUUGCACUCAUAACGACGACGUCCAAAAGUACAUUUUUACACUCUUGACCUCGGAUCAGGUAGGGAUACCCGCUGAACUUAAGCAUA
rnacentral:rRNA from 1 species